UCUACUCUGAACUUCUACAGCGGGCGGUCUACUUCGGUCUCUACUAUGAGCAAAUUUCAUUCGAGCCCUCACUGUAAACACGUCUCUUUCGAACUUUCAUUACAGGUAGACUUCAGCCGAGCUUCUUCAUAGCCGGAUCCCAGACGAGCUUCUACAGCGGGACAAGACUCACUGGCCAGAUCGCUACUCCGAGCUCCCACGACAAUCGAUCCUCGAUCGAGCUUCUACAAUAAGCGGUCUCCUUUCAGCCCUCUGCAAGAACCAGACCUCGAUCGAACUUCCACAGCGAACGGAUAUCGGAUGAGCUUCUACGACGGACGGACUUCGGCAGCUGGAUUCUUACAAUGAUCGAUCACCUUCGACGUCUGUCGAACCUCCCCAGUGCCAUCCAAAGUCCAUCAUCGGUCGACCCUACG
rnacentral:lncRNA from 1 species